rnacentral:rRNA from 1 species
CGAACGUGAGACCUUCGCGGUUAAUAGUGGCGAACGGGUGAGUAACACGUAAGCAACCUACCCUAAAGACGAGGAUAACCAUUGGAAACAGUGGCUAAGACUGGAUAGGAAGAUAAAAGGCAUCUUGUAUCUUUUAAAAGACCUAGUUAAUAGGUAUGCUUUAGGAGGGGCUUGCGCCAUAUUAGUUAGUUGGUAGGGUAAUGGCCUACCAAGACGAUGAUGUGUAGCUGGACUGAGAGGUUGAACAGCCACAUUGGGACUGAGACACGGCCCAAACUCCUACGGGAGGCAGCAGUAGGGAAUUUUCGGCAAUGGAGGAAACUCUGACCGAGCAACGCCGCGUGAAUGACGAAGUACUUCGGUAUGUAAAGUUCUUUUAUCGAGGAAGAAAAGCAAAUGGCGAACCAUUUGUUUGCCGGUACUUGAUGAAUAAGCCCCGGCUAAUUAUGUGCCAGCAGCCGCGGUAAGACAUAAGGGGCAAGUGUUAUCCGGAAUUAUUGGGCGUAAAGGGUGCGUAGGCGGUCUAGUAAGUCAGUGGUGUAAUGGCAACGCUUAACGUUGUCCGGCUAUUGAAACUGCUAAACUUGAGUUAGAUAGAGGCGAGUGGAAUUCCAUGUGUAGCGGUAAAAUGCGUAAAUAUAUGGAGGAACACCAGAGGCGUAGGCGGCUCGCUGGGUCUUAACUGACGCUGAGGCACGAAAGCGUGGGGAGCAAACAGGAUUAGAUACCCUGGUAGUCCACGCCGUAAACGAUGAGUACUAAGUGUCGGGUUAAACCGGUACUGAAGUUAACACAUUAAGUACUCCGCCUGAGUAGUACGUACGCAAGUAUGAAACUUAAAGGAAUUGACGGGACUCCGCACAAGCGGUGGAUCAUGUUGUUUAAUUCGAAGAUACCCGAAAAACCUUACCAGGUCUUGACAUGUUUUUGCAAAAUGAUAGUAAUAUCGUGGAGGUUACCAGAAACACAGGUGGUGCAUGGUUGUCGUCAGCUCGUGUCGUGAGAUGUUAGGUUAAGUCCUAAAACGAGCGAAACCCUUAUCGUUAGUUGCCAGCACGUUAUGGUGGGGACUUUAACGAGACUGCCAAUGAUAAAUUGGAGGAAGGUGAGGAUCACGUCAAAUCAGCAUGCCCCUUAUGACCUGGGCUACAAACGUGAUACAAUGGCUGUUACAAAGGGUAGCUGAAACGCAAGUUCUUGGCCAAUCCCCAAAAACAGUCCCAGUCCGGAUUGAAGUCUGCAACUCGACUUCAUGAAGUUGGAAUCGCUAGUAAUCGCGAAUCAGCAUGUCGCGGUGAAUACGUUCUCGGGGUUUGUACACACCGCCCGUCAAACCACGAAAGUUGGCAAUACCCCAAAACGGUAGCCUAACUCGUUUAUUCGAGAGGGCGCCGUCUAAGGUAGGGUCGAUGAUUGGGGUUAAGUCGUAACAAGGUAUCCCUACCGGAAGGUGGGGAUGGAUCACCUCCUU